rnacentral:rRNA from 1 species
GGGGGGUUCCACCCUCAGUGCUGAAGUUAACACAUUAAGCACUCCGCCUGGGGAGUACGACCGCAAGGUUGAAACUCAAAGGAAUUGACGGGGGCCCGCACAAGCAGUGGAGCAUGUGGUUUAAUUCGAAGCAACGCGAAGAACCUUACCAGGUCUUGACAUCCUCUGACAAUCCUGGAGACAGGACGUUCCCCUUCGGGGGACAGAGUGACAGGUGGUGCAUGGUUGUCGUCAGCUCGUGUCGUGAGAUGUUGGGUUAAGUCCCGCAACGAGCGCAACCCUUGAUCUUAGUUGCCAGCAUUUAGUUGGGCACUCUAAGGUGACUGCCGGUGACAAACCGGAGGAAGGUGGGGAUGACGUCAAAUCAUCAUGCCCCUUAUGACCUGGGCUACACACGUGCUACAAUGGACGGUACAAAGGGCAGCAACACCGCGAGGUGAAGCGAAUCCCAUAAAGCCGUUCUCAGUUCGGAUUGCAGGCUGCAACUCGCCUGCAUGAAGCCGGAAUUGCUAGUAAUCGCGGAUCAGCAUGCCGCGGUGAAUACGUUCCCGGGCCUUGUACACACCGCCCGUCACACCACGAGAGUUUGUAACACCCGAAGUCGGUGGGGUAACCUUUAUGAGCCA